rnacentral:rRNA from 1 species
UACAGAGGGGGCAAGCGUUGUUCGGAAUUACUGGGCGUAAAGGGCGCGUAGGCGGCCACCUAAGUCAGACGUGUAAUCCCUCGGCUCAACCGGGGAACUGCGUCUGAUACUGGGUGGCUUGAAUCCGGGAGAGGGAUGCGGAAUUCCAGGUGUAGCGGUGAAAUGCGUAGAUAUCUGGAGGAACACCGGUGGCGAAGGCGGCAUCCUGGACCGGCAUUGACGCUGAGGCGCGAAAGCCAGGGGAGCAAACGGG